GACGAAGGGGGCUAGCGUUGUUCGGAAUUACUGGGCGUAAAGCGCGUGUAGGCGGUUGCCCAAGUCGGGUGUGAAAGCCUUGAGCUCAACUCAAGAAAUGCACUCGGUACUGGGUGACUAGAGGACCGGAGAGGAUAGUGGAAUUCCCAGUGUAGUGGUGAAAUACGUAGAGAUUGGGAAGAACACCAGUGGCGAAGGCGGCUAUCUGGACGGUUUCUGACGCUAAGACGCGAAAGCGUGGGUAGCAAACAGG
rnacentral:rRNA from 1 species